GGAUGAACGCUAGCGGCAGGCUUAACACAUGCAAGUCGAGGGGUAACAGGGGAGCUUGCAUUCGCUGACGACCGGCGCACGGGUGCGUAACGCGUAUAGAACCUACCUUUUACAGAGGGAUAGCCUUUAGAAAUGAAGAUUAAUACCUCAUAGUACUGUGGUUUGGCAUCAAAUUGUAAUUAAAGAUUUAUCGGUAAAAGAUGGCUAUGCGUCCUAUUAGCUAGAUGGUAAGGUAACGGCUUACCAUGGCAACGAUAGGUAGGGGCCCUGAGAGGGAGAUCCCCCACACUGGUACUGAGACACGGACCAGACUCCUACGGGAGGCAGCAGUGAGGAAUAUUGGGCAAUGGAGGCAACUCUGACCCAGCCAUGCCGCGUGAAGGAAGACGGCCCUAUGGGUUGUAAACUUCUUUUAUACAGGAAGAAACCACUCUACGUGUAGAGUGCUGACGGUACUGUACGAAUAAGGACCGGCUAACUCCGUGCCAGCAGCCGCGGUAAUACGGAGGGUCCAAGCGUUAUCCGGAAUCAUUGGGUUUAAAGGGUCCGUAGGCGGGCAAUUAAGUCAGGGGUGAAAUCCCACAGCUCAACUGUGGAACUGCCUUUGAUACUGGUUGUCUUGAGUUAUAGUGAAGUAGAUAGAAUAUGUAGUGUAGCGGUGAAAUGCAUAGAUAUGUCAUGGAACACCGAUAGUGAAGACAGCUCACUAAGCCAAUAUUGACGCUGAUGAACGAAAGCAUGGGUAGCGAACAGGAUUAGAUACCCUGGUAGUCCAUGCCGUAAACGAUGAUUACUAGCUAUUAGCGAUAUACUGUUAGUGGCAAAGCGAAAGCAUUAAGUAAUCCACCUGGGAAGUACGGUCGCAAGAUUGAAACUCAAAGGAAUUGACGGGGGCCCGCACAAGCGGUGGAGCAUGUGGUUUAAUUCGAUGAUACGCGAGGAACCUUACCAGGGCUUAAAUGCAGAAUGACAGGAUGGGAAACCAUUUUUUUCUCGGACCUUUUGCAAGGUGCUGCAUGGUUGUCGUCAGCUCGUGCCGUGAGGUGUCAGGUUAAGUCCUAUAACGAGCGCAACCCCUAUCUUUAGUUGCCAGCGGGUUAAGCCGGGGACUCUAAAGAAACUGCCAGCGCAAGCUGUGAGGAAGGUGGGGAUGACGUCAAAUCAUCACGGCCCUUACGUCCUGGGCUACACACGUGCUACAAUGGUAGAGACAGAGGGCAGCCACCACGCGAGUGGGAGCGAAUCCUUAAACUCUAUCUCAGUUCGGAUUGGAGUCUGCAACUCGACUCCAUGAAGCUGGAAUCGCUAGUAAUCGCGCAUCAGCCAUGGCGCGGUGAAUACGUUCCCGGGCCUUGUACACACCGC
rnacentral:rRNA from 1 species